UACGUAGGGGGGCAAGCGUUGUCCGGAUUUAUUGGGCGUAAAGAGCGUGUAGGCGGCUUCACAGGUCCGCUGUGAAAACUCGAGGCUCAACCUCGAGCUGUCGGUGGAAACCGUGUGGCUAGAGUCCGGAAGAGGAGAGUGGAAUUCCCGGUGUAGCGGUGAAAUGCGCAGAUAUCGGGAAGAACACCCGUGGCGAAGGCGGCUCUCUGGGACGGUACUGACGCUGAGACGCGAAAGCGUGGGGAGCGAACAGG
rnacentral:rRNA from 1 species